rnacentral:rRNA from 1 species
AGAGUUUGAUCCUGGCUCAGAUUGAACGCUGGCGACGUGCUUAACACAUGCAAGUCGUGCGAGAAAGGAGACUUCGGUCUCUGAGUAGAGCGGCGCACGGGUGAGUAACGCGUGGAUGAUCUACCCUUGAGUUCGGGAUAACGGUGCGAAAGCGCCGCUAAUACCGUAUAACAAUCCAUUUCAUCGUGGGUUCAAAGCAGGCCUCUUCAUGAAAGCUUGCGCUUGGGGAUGAGUCCGCGUCCCAUUAGCUUGUUGGCGGGGUAACGGCCCACCAAGGCUACGAUGGGUAGCUGGUCUGAGAGGAUGAUCAGCCACACUGGAACUGAAACACGGUCCAGACUCCUACGGGAGGCAGCAGUGGGGAAUAUUGCGCAAUGGGGGAAACCCUGACGCAGCGACGUCGUGUGAGGGAAGAAGGCCUUCGGGUCGUAAACCUCUGUCAGAAGGGAAGAACAUCCGGGAGUCG